CUAUGCGCCUUGCCAGCCCGCUCAGGUGUGCCAGCCGCCGCGGUAAUACAGAGGUCUCAAGCGUUGUUCGGAAUCACUGGGCGUAAAGCGUGCGUAGGCGGUUUCGUAAGUCGUGUGUGAAAGGCGGGGGCUCAACCCCCGGACUGCACAUGAUACUGCGAGACUAGAGUAAUGGAGGGGGAACCGGAAUUCUCGGUGUAGCAGUGAAAUGCGUAGAUAUCGAGAGGAACACUCGUGGCGAAGGCGGGUUCCUGGACAUUAACUGACGCUGAGGCACGAAGGCCAGGGGGAGCGAAAGGG
rnacentral:rRNA from 1 species